rnacentral:misc_RNA from 1 species
UCUCCGUAGGUGAACCUGCGGAGGGAUCAUUACAGAGUUCAUGCCCUACCGGGUAGAUCUCCCACCCUAUGUUAUUAUUACUUUGUUGCUUUGGCGGGCCGUUAGGCUCCAGCCCGACUACCGGCCCCGGCUGGUAAGCGCCCGCCAGAGGACCCAAAACCCUGAAUAUAGUUUCGUCUGAGUACUAUAUAAUAGUUAAAACUUUCAACAACGGGUCUCUUGGUUCUG